UCAAUGAAAAAGAAAGACAUCAACCCGUUUUUAGGACAGUGAAAACAGCGCUAUACAGAUAAGUAAAUUGUGUGAAAAAUACUGCGUUUUUUACACGUGAAAUAUGAACACAUGUUAUAUUGCGUAAUGUAAACACAAUCAAAGCUUCAAAAACACAGGAAGAACGGGACCUUUAAACAGAUAAAAGCAAACAAAUUAUGCUGUUCCUCUCUGUUACUGAAUGUCUUAUAGUUGACCGUGACUUAUAGCAUAACUUGGCAUAAGAUAAGGAUACAUAAUCCAUCCAGAUGUUAGUGGUUGUAUACACUUACCAUAAUGGAGGGUUUGGAAAACUGUCGGAUUCCAUUCGGAUCGUACCAUAUCUCUUGAUAUCCAGUUUGAGCAUCAGCGAAAGAGAGAGAGAGAGAGAGAGACAGAGAGCGAGAUUCAUUUUAUUAAGUAGGCCCAACAGCACUUGCUCUGGACACACUCCAGACCUACUGGGCUGUGACCCCCCAUCACCCUCACACAAGAACACCCACCAGACUACACAAGACUGCUGUGACCCUGCAGGGGCCGUGGAUCUCAGCCAGCGAAAGAAAUUCUAGUGCAGAGUUCCUCAGAGAUGGAUGAGUUUAUAUGGUUCUUUAUUAAUAAGCGAGUAGUAGUAGUUCCUGUAGGUGAACUGUUGUACUAUGAAGUCCCCAAAUGCAUGUAAAUGAUAUUAGAGUAAUAUGUUGCAUGUUUAAAUAAAAAUAUAUACUAUAUGUAAUACUGUACAAUACAUAGUAUAUUCAUGUUUGUGUGACUGUAGAGCACGCCAUCGUAAAAUACUUGGCAAACACGAUCCUGUUGGAUUCUGCCUUAAAAUUUAUGAAUGCAUGGGCUCUUAGAGGGCACAAACAUAAUAGCAUG